UACGUAGGGGGCGAGCGUUGUCCGGAUUUAUUGGGCGUAAAGAGCGUGUAGGCGGUCAGGUAGGUCUGCUGUGAAAACUCGAGGCUCAACCUCGAGAUGUCGACCGAAACCAUCUGGCUAGAGUCCGGAAGAGGAGAAUGGAAUUCCCGGUGUAGCGGUGAAAUGCGCAGAUAUCGGGAAGAACACCCGUGGCGAAGGCGGUUCUCUGGGACGGUACUGACGCUGAGACGCGAAAGCGUGGGGAGCGAACAGG
rnacentral:rRNA from 1 species